AGCGAACGCUGGCGGCAGGCCUAACACAUGCAAGUCGAACGAACCUUUCGGGGUUAGUGGCGGACGGGUGAGUAACACGUGGGAACGUGCCUUUAGGUUCGGAAUAACUCAGGGAAACUUGUGCUAAUACCGAAUGUGCCCUUCGGGGGAAAGAUUAAUCGCCUUUAGAGCGGCCCGCGUCUGAUUAGCUAGUUGGUUGAGGUAAUGGCUCACCAAGGCGACGAUCAGUAGCUGGUCUGAGAGGAUGAUCAGCCACAUUGGGACUGAGACACGGCCCAAACUCCUCGGGGGGGCAGCAGUGGGGAAUUUUGGGAAAGGGGCGAAAGCCUGACGCAGCCAUGCCGGGUGAAUGAGGAAGGUUUUAGGAUGUUAAAAUUCUUUCCCCGGGGACGAUAAUGACGGUACCCGGAGAAGAAGCCCCGGCUAAUUUCGU
rnacentral:rRNA from 1 species